rnacentral:rRNA from 1 species
GUGGGGAAUCUUGCGCAAUGGGCGAAAGCCUGACGCAGCCAUGCCGCGUGAAUGAUGAAGGUCUUAGGAUUGUAAAAUUCUUUCACCGGGGACGAUAAUGACGGUACCCGGAGAAGAAGCUCCGGCUAACUUCGUGCCAGCAGCCGCGGUAAUACGAAGGGGGCUAGCGUUGCUCGGAAUUACUGGGCGUAAAGGGCGCGUAGGCGGACAGCUUAGUCAGAGGUGAAAGCCCAGGGCUCAACCUUGGAAUUGCCUUUGAUACUGGCUGUCUUGAGUUUGGGAGAGGUGAGUGGAACUCCGAGUGUAGAGGUGAAAUUCGUAGAUAUUCGGAAGAACACCAGUGGCGAAGGCAAUCCCCUGGGCCUGCACUGACGCUCAUGCACGAAAGCGUGGGGAGCAAACAGGAUUAGAAACCCCUGUAGUCC